rnacentral:rRNA from 1 species
UACGUAGGGGGCAAGCGUUGUCCGGAUUUAUUGGGCGUAAAGAGCGUGUAGGCGGCCAGAUAGGUCUGUUGUGAAAACUCGAGGCUCAACCUCGAGACGCCGAUGGAAACCAUUUGGCUAGAGUCCGGAAGAGGAGAGUGGAAUUCCUGGUGUAGCGGUGAAAUGCGCAGAUAUCAGGGAGAACACCCGUGGCUAAGGCGGCUCUCUAGUACGGUACUGACGCUGAGACGCGAAAGCGUGGGGAGCAAACAGG